GUGGGGAAUUUUGGACAAUGGGGGCAACCCUGAUCCAGCCAUGCCGCGUGAGUGAAGAAGGCCUUCGGGUUGUAAAGCUCUUUCGGGCGGAAAGAAAUUGCCAUCCCUAAUACGGGUGGUGGAUGACGGUACCGCAAGAAGAAGCACCGGCUAACUACGUGCCAGCAGCCGCGGUAAUACGUAGGGUGCGAGCGUUAAUCGGAAUUACUGGGCGUAAAGCGUGCGCAGGCGGUUUUGUAAGACAGACGUGAAAUCCCCGGGCUUAACCCGGGAACUGCGUUUGUGACUGCAAGGCUAGAGUGCGGCAGAGGGGGGUGGAAUUCCGCGUGUAGCAGUGAAAUGCGUAGAUAUGCGGAGGAACAUCGAUGGCGAAGGCAGCCCCCUGGGUCGACACUGACGCUCAUGCACGAAAGCGUGGGGAGCAAACAGGAUUAGAUACCCGGGUAGUCC
rnacentral:rRNA from 1 species